rnacentral:rRNA from 1 species
GCAGGUUAGGUUAUCGCACUGUUGGAUAUGUGCGUUUAAGUUGGUAGGUGAGAAGUUUAGGCAAAUCCGGACUUCUUUAACACCGAGAGAUGAUGACGAGGCUCUACGGAGCUGAAGUAACCGAUACCACACUUCCAGGAAAAGCCACUAAGCUUCAGGUUUAUCUAAACCGUACUGAAAACCGACACAGGUGGUCAGGUAGAGAAUACUCAGGCGCUUGAGAGAACUCGGGUGAAGGAACUAGGCAAAAUAGCACCGUAACUUCGGGAGAAGGUGCGCCGGCGUAGAUUGUAGUCCCUAGCGGGCGAAGGUUGAACCGGUCGAAGAUACCAGCUGGCUGCAACUGUUUAUUAAAAACACAGCACUCUGCAAACACGAAAGUGGACGUAUAGGGUGUGAUGCCUGCCCGGUGCUGGAAGGUUAAUUGAUGGUGUAAUCGAAAGAGAAGCUCCUGAUCGAAGCCCCAGUAAACGGCGGCCGUAACUAUAACGGUCCUAAGGUAGCGAAAUUCCUUGUCGGGUAAGUUCCGACCUGCACGAAUGGCAUAAUGAUGGCCAGGCUGUCUCCACCCGAGACUCAGUGAAAUUGAAAUCGCCGUGAAGAUGCGGUGUACCCGCGGCUAGACGGAAAGACCCCGUGAACCUUUACUAUAGCUUGACACUGAACAUUGAAUUUUGAUGUGUAGGAUAGGUGGGAGACUAUGAAGAUGAUACGCCAGUAUUGUUGGAGUCGACCUUGAAAUACCACCCUUUAACGUUUGAUGUUCUAACGAAGAUUACGAAACGUGGUCUCGGACAGUGUCUGGUGGGUAGUUUGACUGGGGCGGUCUCCUCCA